GAUGAACGCUGGCGGCGUGCCUAAUACAUGCAAGUCGAGCGAACAGACGAGGAGCUUGCUCCUCUGACGUUAGCGGCGGACGGGUGAGUAACACGUGGAUAACCUACCUAUAAGACUGGGAUAACUUCGGGAAACCGGAGCUAAUACCGGAUAAUAUAUUGAACCGCAUGGUUCAAUAGUGAAAGACGGUUUUGCUGUCACUUAUAGAUGGAUCCGCGCCGCAUUAGCUAGUUGGUAAGGUAACGGCUUACCAAGGCAACGAUGCGUAGCCGACCUGAGAGGGUGAUCGGCCACACUGGAACGGAGACACGGUCCAGACUCCUACGGGAGGCAGCAGUAGGGAAUCUUCCGCAAUGGGCGAAAGCCUGACGGAGCAACGCCGCGUGAGUGAUGAAGGUCUUCGGAUCGUAAAACUCUGUUAUGAGGGAAGAACAAAUGUGUAAGUAACUAUGCACGUCUUGACGGUACCUAAUCAGAAAGCCACGGCUAACUACGUG
rnacentral:rRNA from 1 species